UGCGGUGACGUAGGGGAGGCGUUCCCUCAGUUCCCAACCGAGUAGCUAGCUAAGAUGCUAACGUCUUUCCUUCCAAACCCAAGUUUUAGAUGAAGCAAAUAUGAGUGCAAAUAUUUUAUAUGCCCCACUAAACACAAAAGUGAACACUGACUUGCAUUUUUUCCUUUGUUGCACGAUUUAUUCUCUUGUAUACGUCGUCAUUUGUUGCUCUACUUUUUGACUAAACCACUUCCCGAAUAGUAUACCAAUGGCAGAGCUUUUAGCCAAUCAGAUUUAAGGCCAACAAUUCUGGGCGGAAGAACGGGCUGUCAAAAUGACUAAGUGCUCAUUUCCGGUCAAUUUCCUGCCUUUGACCGGAAAUGAGCACAACAAGCCAGCUACGUGUUUACCUUAGUUUUUGACCAGAAUUUGGAAUUUGGGGGGGCUUUUUUUUUUUUUUUUUUUUUAAAGCUGAUCGAAGAAAAACACAUUACUUGCCUCACUUUUCUUGGAUAGGAACUCCAAUGUAUUAAAAAGUCAGUGUGCAUUAAUUUGCAUUGCAAAAAAAAAAAACUCGCAUAUCAAAUCAAAACACGUCAUAGAAAGAAAGAUGGCAAAUCGUCACUAGUGCAACUCCGGAGACCAGCGUGUACACUAUUGAGCGUCGCACAAACCUUACCACAGUCUGGUGAUUGACUUGGAUGACUUCAUCUCCCGCGUGGAUCUUCUUACAGCGGUCGGCCGGAGACUGCAAGCCCACAAAGAGAAAACGGGUUCCCCCCAACCGACCUACCAGUGCACAGAGCAGGUCGACGGCCUCCAGUAUGAGCUCCUGGUGUCCGAUGCGGGUCACUCCCAGGUCCUCCAGCUCGGCGUGGCUGAUCCGCAGCAGCCUCUCGCCGCACACGCCGCCGCGCUCAAACACGCACACGUACUGCUGCAGGCAGUCGUCCAAGCCUGCAACACACACACACAUUUUGUGUGCCGAGCCGCUUUGCUGACCGAGCUGCCACCGGACCGCCAAAACGAUGAACGCAUCCCGCCGCUGACCCCGGAACAAACACGCAAGUACGCACGUACUCGCUCAGACGCACACUUGCGCGUGGAC